rnacentral:rRNA from 1 species
AACGAACGCUGGCGGCAUGCCUAACACAUGCAAGUCGAACGAGACCAUCGGGACUAGUGGCGCACGGGUGCGUAACGCGUGGGAACCUGCCCUUAGGUUCGGAAUAACACUCCGACAGGGGUGCUAAUACAGGAUAACGUAUUCGGACACAGGAUUCGACGCCUUUGGGAGGGCCCGCGUUGGUUUAGCCUGUUGGUAGGGUAAAAGCCUACCAAGGCGACGAUAGAUAGCUGGGCUGAGAGGAAGAGCCGCCACACUGGGGCGGGGCCGCGGCCCGGACUCUUGCGGGAUGCGGCAGCGCGUGAUACUGGCCAAUCGGCUAAAGCCUGAUCCAGCAAGGCCGCGUGAGUGAUGAUGUCCUUAGGGUUGUACAGCACGUUUACCCGGGAUGAUAAUGACGGUACCGAGAGAAUAAGCACCGGCUAACUCCGUG